GCAAAAGAGUGUUGCAGAUAACAGUGCCUGUCUGUGUUUUACCACACAGGUUACACCAGCAACAUGCCCGUGGACGCUGCAGACUAGCGGUUUGCAUGUGUACUGCACGUCGACGCGGACAAAGAUGCAGAAGUACUGUAUAAAUGAAAACCGACGCACAGCCUACGGCGUAGAGUCUACGGUCUACACCUUAGAGUUAGAGUUAGAGUCUACACCUUAAGUGUUGUGGCCCCACAGUGUGAAAUAUUGACCAGUUGACCAGUUUGAGUGGAGAAAGCAGUAUUUGAGAUUGCAAGAAAGCAGAAAUGGCCUCCUGUAACUUCAAAAAGAGCAGGAACGACGCAAGAAAUUCCGCCAGAGGCGUUCAGUGGACCUGGACAACACAGCUUUGCGAGUCCAGAGGGCAAAGUCCGAAAAAGAGCAAAAAAACCACAGAAAUUUCGGAAACCUCCCUGGCCUUCAGUGAUGUCUUUGGAGGAAAGCGAAAGGAGGAGACGUCCCCAUCCACUAGACAUCUAGAAAAGGCCUGCCGAGAGAGUCUUCUCCACAAGCCGCCCCAUCCACCAGUCAGCAGUGGCCUCCAGUGCUCAAGAAUGUCAGAGUAUCAGAUGUUCCUCCUGCUGGAGCAGAAAGAGACGCUGGCCGUGGAGCAGAGAGAGCGGGUGCUGAUGCAGGGGGAGGAGGUCAUUGCCCACGUCGUGUGGCCUGACCUGACCUGACAGAUCAGGGCUUUCAACAUAGGGGAUAGGUUGAAGUGAUGACCCAGGUGCAGAGGGAAUUGACGUCAUCUGUCUGGCUACAGGAAGCUGGGUGUGAGAUACCAUGCUGAUCUGAGGCAAGGGCACACUCAGAGCCAGCACAUCUGCCUCCAGCUUCUUCCUGUAGUUGUUGUACCUGUUUGAAAUGACAAUUAGUAGGAUGAACGUAAUCUGAGAAUUGUAAAAUUACUUUUAUAUCUGGCUUUCAUUGAAACUAUUUACCAGACAGAAAGCGUCCGCUGACUGACCUCAAACAGCUGAAUUCUUGUCUGUCCCCUCAGUGCUGGGCAGUUCCCCACCAGUCUCCAUAUGGCCUGGUAGUCAUGUAGUACAGCAGCUCAGGGGUUCAUUGAAACGCCCCACUUCACCUUCCUCACUGGAUGAGCUCCAGACAUACUGCCUCUACAAUUCUAUUAAUAUUAGGCCACUGCGCAGGAGCCCUGCCCCAACACACAUCUGUAAAAUAAAAUAGGGGAUUAUAAAAAAAAAAAAAAAAUU
ensembl:lncRNA